rnacentral:lncRNA from 1 species
CAGACACAUUGCAAGAUUCAGAAAGUGUUAGCAAAACCACUUUUGUGAUUGUUGGCGUGAUUUUGGGAGUGGCAAUUAUUUUGAUCUCAAUUUAUGCAAUUUAUAUAACAAUUGCAAUGAGAAUAAGAGAUAGAAAUCGUCAUUGCGAAAGAUGUGAAAUGCUUAACGAUGCACCAAUAAAUGACAAUGAAAUUCAAAACAGUUCAGACGAGGUAUAGUUCACUUUGAUAAUGAAGGAGAAGAUUCUUUGGAUUUAUAUUCAAAUUAAUGUGGAUCAAAAAUGAUUGACACAAAUUUCCGUAUUCUGACAGUUUCAAAGAACUGAACUGAGUAAUAAACAGCGCUUAAAGUGUUAACAAUUUGCUUUGUUAAUACAUGUAGUUUUGAGCAUUUUAAAAUGCCCGAAAAGCUGCAUCUGUUUUAAAAUAAUGUUUGCAUGUUUUCCUUUUUGUAAUAUAUUUUUAUUUCCAAUAAAUACAGCACAUUUACAACAAAUACAUCAGUGACAGUUUAUUUCUUUUCAAUAUAAUAAUUGAUAAACAAGUACAUUCUUAAUUAAUCUUCAAUAUUCAUUUUAUUUUUAUUAUAGAUGCCUAUAUUAUUGGAAAAAUGUGAUAAAAAAAGGAUGUUUUC